UGAGGAGGUGCUAGGAGGAGCCUUCGGGGUGAUAGCGGUGCAAUGGCAAGGAGAGGAAUGUCCAUCAGCAUCAAGGUUUCUCAGGAGGCAGAGCACUGUGUGCCCUCAUUUCCCCCUGAAGCCCUACAGGAUGUUGCCCUGUAGCAAUGCUUCACACAGACCGCUCCUGGACUGGCACUACAGCCCUGCAGAGAGCUUGGCUGGAGAAACACAGCCCUGAUCAGCCUAUCCAUGGCCUCGUGGAUGGAGCUUGUUUGCAGGUAGCUGAAACAAAAUCUCCUGCCACAGCCCUGACCUGUAUCCCCGAACAAAGCAUCCCUUAUUCAGUGGAUAAGCAAAGGGGAACAUCGGUUUUCAGAUUAUCUGCAUCCCAGCGUUCCCUCGGAGGGGGACAUGGCGAUGGAAGGUCUCUGUUCGGUGACCCAACAACAGGGCCUUUAUUGCCAGGCAGGGAUGAAAGGCCCAUCACAGCUGCUGGCUCAGCCCGUCCGUGACAGAGCGUGUUUGCACAAACAAUGCUGAAAUUAAAGCCCCCGAGUUCAAAACCUCAUUGUCUGAAAAGCACUUCAUGAAUCCAUCCCCCUCCUUUUCUAAUAAAAAAGGGGUGCGUUUUCUUCCUGCCGCGACAGAAGGUAGUUCUACAUCAUGCUGGUCCUACAAGUGUUGGUAAAUUGCUUUUUGAUGGGUGAAGCAAAGCGUGUGUGGGGUGCCCAUGGACUGGCUGGUGGUGAGUGAGAGUGGUGGUGAAUGGAGCUCCUUCCAGUUGGUGACUGGUCAUGAGUGGUGUUCCCCAGGGGUCGGUGCUGGGGCCCGUGCUCUUCAAUAUCUCUACUGAUGGCCUGGAUGAGGGCACUGAGUGCACCCUCAGUACGUUUGCAGAUGGAUGACACCAAGCUGGGGAAAGUGUGGGUCUGCCUGGGGUUAGGAAGGCCCUACGGAGGGAUCUGGGCAGGCUGAUCACUGGGCUGAGGCCAAUGGGAUGGAGUUCAAGAAGAUCGAGUGCCGGGUCCUGUGCUUUGGCCACAGCAACCCCAUGCAAUGCUGCAGGUGUGGGACAGUGGCUGGAAGCUGUGGGAGGAAAAGGAGCUGGGGCUUAUCUGCCCUAUCAGGAUCUGAAUGUAAGAUAUGGGAAAGACAAAGUCCUCCUUGCAGAACUAGCCAGCUCCUGGGCUCACGGAGAAGAUGCCGAGCAGAGCAGAGGGAUAAGAAUAAGAAUUGGUUUUUCCCAAAGGCAAAAUGAGUCGAAGGUCAGAGCUGCCCCACGUGCUGCCCAUCCCUGCCUGGAGCAGCUCAAGAUUUCUGGCCCCAGAUCUUCCAAGGAGAUUUUUACCAGGCAGUUCAUAGUGUCACGUCAAGAGCUGAGACCACCCAGCUCUUCCCAAUGCUCUGUUUGUGGUCUCUCAUCACCAAAGUGCCAUGCUCACAGCCCAGAUGGGUUUACGUCUGUUUUAGAGCCCAGAGGCCAGAGUGAUCUCCCAGAAGAAAUCUAAGCAGGGUGUGAAAUAACAGGAGGAUGCAAAGAGCCUGGACAAAGGAUGUCAUUCUGCAAGCCAAGCUGUAUUGGCAGAGCUCCUGCUACCUCUUCAUGGUCACCAGCAGGGAAAUGGACCCACUUGACUGGCUGCACUGGUUGGGCCAGGAUUAGCUGCAAAAGCUUCUUGUCCCUGGGCUCCCAUGGUGCCGGGGCAGGGCAAAACCCAAAUUAACUUCAGCAAUAAGCAAACAAAUCCCUAACGAUGGAGGAGGGGCAGGGCUGGGUGCACAGCUGGGCAGAGCAGAGAUGACUUCUCAACCUGUGGUCAGAGCAGGGCUGGGUACAGCAUCAUCAGAGCAUCCUGUAUUCCUAACGCAGGAGCACGGGCUGCACCCUGGCUGCGGGGCGAGACGGUGUCCUAUUAAUUGAUUUUGCCAACCUCAGAAGUUGAAAAGCAUUUUGCCUUCAUCCUCUGGAAUGCAAAACGCAUCCUCUUCCUCUCCAACCACGGUGGGCUCCACGGAGCAGAGAGCUGAUUCGUUUAGUUAAAACAGAUUAAAAUAGCUCGAGGAUCUUCAUGUUCAGUGAGCAAUGCUGGGGACAAGCAGGAGGACGCUGCAGGCACAUUCCAUACAUCGUGCCAGUAAGUCCAAACCAUCUCCCCAGCAAGGUUUGGACUCACCCAAAAGACAGUGGAGCCCAUGUAAAAAUCCUCCCUUCAAUCCAGGUUUUUUUUUAAACCCCCAAAGAGCCCAUUUGGACCCAUUUCAUGAGCUGUCUCACAGCAGAGGGUGG
ensembl:lncRNA